rnacentral:rRNA from 1 species
UAAUUGAAGAGUUUGAUCAUGGCUCAGAUUGAACGCUGGCGGCAGGCCUAACACAUGCAAGUCGAGCGGCAGCACAGAGGAACUUGUUCCUUGGGUGGCGAGCGGCGGACGGGUGAGUAAUGCCUGGGAAAUUGCCCGGUAGAGGGGGAUAACCAUUGGAAACGAUGGCUAAUACC